rnacentral:rRNA from 1 species
UACGUAGGGGGCUAGCGUUGUCCGGAAUCAUUGGGCGUAAAGCGCGUGUAGGCGGUUCGGUAAGUCCGCUGUGAAAGUCGAGGGCUCAACCCUCGAAUGCCGGUGGAUACUGUCGGGCUAGAGUGCGGAAGAGGCGAGUGGAAUUCCUGGUGUAGCGGUGAAAUGCGCAGAUAUCAGGAGGAACACCAAUUGCGAAGGCAGCUCGCUGGGACGCUACUGACGCUGAGACGCGAAAGCGUGGGGAGCAAACAGG